UAGUUGAGGAAAGAGAUGAGAGGAAAGUAUCUGUGGCUGAGUCUAAGGGUAGUGAGGAAAAAUAAUACACCAUACACCAUAAUACAUAAUACAUCAGAAUACAUCAUAAUACAUUGAUAAAUGAGAUGUAUAACAUUUAGUCAGUAAAACUAAAUGUAUGUUUAGGCUGUGUUUACAUGUUAACGUUCGCUAUCAUGUUGUAUUGAUCAGUCGCAACCGCCACUUUUAUAUAGUUUUAUGUCACGACAUGCUCUGUGGAAUCGUCACAUUUAAAAUCUAAUGCUUAACCUUUUUUUGAUCAAUAAUUCUCAUUAAACAAAUGACCAAAAACGUCGUCUUUUGUGGAAAACUAUCUUUUUUCGAUGGUGUUUUUGCAUCUUGGCGGUUUACUAUAUUAGAAAUGUCCAACAUGGUUUAAAUACAGCGCAACUUUAUCAUUAACCUUUUAGACGUUUUUACAUUUCUUUGUGAGUAAAGUAUUAAACAAAAUAGCUUAAAUUGAAAUUCGACUGCCCGUAAGAAAAACUAGCCCAUGUAACGUUAGUUGUCUUAAAGAAAUGCAACCUCGUGCUCAUCAGCGUGGUGUUAGCUAGUACAUUUCGGUUAAUGCAAGUCUGUUGUAUCAUGACAUGCUAAAUAAAUAAAUAGAUAGUACUUUAUUUUGGAUAGAAAUUUUGUAGAAAACAGAUCAAAAGAUUUUUUUCUUGUCAUCAUGUAAAAAGCAAUCUAAUGUUUUUUUAUUACUCUGCAGAUUCAAAGCAAGGCUAAUCAAGAUGAUCUGGAAAUGAUUUUAUGAAAGCUUCAUUGUGGACAAGUUUUGCAGAUUUUGCAUGGCAUCCAGAAUUGACACACAACACCAAGAGAUGGCUUCUAAAGAAACCAUGACUUUGUGAGUUAUUCUUACAGAAGCUGAUAUCAGAAAAGUAAAGCUGACAUCAAAGCCAGGCUCAGUUGAAGAAUUAGUUAGUUGUUUAAAAAACACUCUGAGACUGGACUACAAUUUUACUUUACAGUUUCAAGAUCCCGAGGUUGAUAACGAACUUUGCAAUCUGACCGUUUUGUCAGAGCUCCCUCAGAAGCCAACUGUGAAAAUCAUUCCGGUGAUUGAACUUGUGCCACUCUCUUCAGGUGAAAUGGAGACAUCAAGUGAUAUGUUGAGUGAUGCUACAAGUACUGCAGACACAGUAUUGACCUCGGAAUUACCCCAGGAAAAAAGAAUGCCAUGGCCUGAUAUCUUUUUGACUCCAAAAUUCUCUGUCGAUGUUGAAUUUAGGCUAAUUUAAGCCAAUUUAAUCUACUUGAAAGAUGGAACGCACCUAAAAGUGACAAAGGAAUUGAAACAUGACAUUCUUCAGAAACUUGCAGAGACCAUAUAUUCCUGCAAAGCAUACCCAACUACUGAGGAUCUACGAGCUGUUGCAAAGGCUCUGGUCAAUACUCACCCCUGCCUUCAAGAACCACAAAUGAAAAACAGAAAAGAAAACAAAUUUAGAAAAAGAAAAACAAAAACAAAUUUAUAAACACAAAUGAUCGCCUUCCAAGUGGGUGACACGGGGGAGAGUAAAUUAUCAGGACAUUUUUAUUUGAAAGUGGAUUAAUCCUUUAAUAUUAUGAAGGGAUGAGAAUACUUUUUGUGCACAAAAAUAACGACUUUAUUUAACAAAAUACUCUCUUCUGUGUCAUUCUCUUCUAAUGUUUACGUCCAGGUUUCCAGGUUCUACAUCAAUAAUGAGUUGACAUUCUUAUGUACAACCUGGAAGCUCUGAACGUAAACAGUGUAUGAGAAUGACACAGAAGAGAGUAUUUUAUUGAAUAGUCUUUUCAUAACAUUUAAGGUUAAACCACUGCAGGCACUUCAACUGUAAAUUGCUGUUUAUGGAUGUCAGAUACCUCUUAAUUAGUGUGCUGAAGAUGAACAAAGGUCUUACAGGUGUGGAACAAAAUGAGGGUGAGUAAUUAAUGACAAUUUUAAUUUUGGGCCAAAGUAACACUUUAAGACUGUUAAGUAACUGUUAAACGUAUGAUUAAUAGAAAUUGCCUUCCUUUCAUGUUGACAAAUGAUACAAUGUUUUAUCUGCAACCACCACACCUCAGACCUCUGAUAUCGCAGACAUGCGAUGUGUUACCAUGAGAGGGCUUCCAGUACUUCUUGGUGAUGACCAAACUGAGUUCUUCAAAGCAUGCUUUGCUUCUGAUGACGGAGACUCGUACCAACAUGUGCCAGUUGGAAUCCUCACCUUAGAAAAUGAAGAUGUGGCUCUGCAACCCCUGCCCCUCCGUCUCCACCCAUCCUCGGUGGGAAUCAUCUUGGAGGGGAACGUUGUAAUGGACAAUUUAGACAACAUACCCCAGGCCAUGUGUCGACUUUUUGGUUCAACUUAUGCACUGCACCUAGACUACCCAAAGUGCAUGGGCAACACCUUUCUUUUCAUUCAGCAAGUUUUGCUAGGUUUAGGCAAGAAGGAGUUGAAGGGCAAGAUUCUGGCUGUUACAAAUCAGCUAACCAUGUAAACAGCGAACUAGGAGAAAGAGUGACAGAACUCCUUGUGAAGAUCCCCCAGUAUCUUCAAAAGUUCAUCUAGAUCUGCUGAAACCCAGUUCAGAGGAACAUGAGCAGCAUCUCCAUCCAUCAGCUCUAGUGGAUGACCAGAUUUCAGGACUUCUGCUGCAAGCUUAGGGAGAGAAGUGAAGGUUUUUUCUUUAUAUUGUUCAUUGGAUUGUUGUACAGAAAUAAAAGCCUCGUAUAUUUGAUUCAUA